AAAUGAGAUGAAUUGGUGCACCCGAUUGGACAACAAUCACUUCAUUAAAAGGAGGAAAAAUUUGACCAAUCGCACGUUUCACAUGGUGAAUGUCACAUGUGUGGUACGUUUUACCUUUGAAUAGUGAUUCGGAACCACACAUUGUACUACGCGACCCUUUCAAUGGCGAUUUUAACUGAGACCGAGUGCGCAUGUUCACCAUAGAAGCCAACCCCAAAACCUUUGAGCGUUUGAUCGGGAGUGUACCGUGUAAUUACAGUCUGUUCCCACUCAAUGAUGACUUCUCCCAUCACUCAAGGAAGACGCCUCAUAACGGCUAACAUCAGGGGUACCCUUGUGUCUUAUCAUGAACGGGGUAGGAAAAGGUGGUCCUCAGCCCUGGUGACGGAGGCUGCUGCAGCUACAGGACUACCUGUGUCUGUAGUUAAGAACUGGAUUGGUAACUAUGGGCGUUCACUUAAUACCUCCUGCACAUUAACACAUCCGGCGCCGCAACGCUGCUGGUUAUAAGCGCAUUGUGUCUGCCUAUAACUUGCUUUGUGCAGAGGUGCUGACGGGGAAAGGACCUGAGCCCUAGGACCAUGCCUCAGGACUACCUGGCCUGAUGACUCCUUGCUGUCCCCAGUCCACCUAGUCGUGCUGCUGCUCCAGUUUCAACUGUUCUGCAUGCGGCUAUGGAACCCUCACCUGUUCACCGGACUUGCUACCUGUCCCAGACCUGCUGUUUUCAACUCUCUAGAGACAGCAGGAGUGGUAGAGAUACUCUGAAUGAACGGCUAUGAAAAGCCAACUGACAUUUACUCCUGAGGUGUUGACCUGUUGCACCCUCUAUAACCACUGUGAUUAUUAUUAUUUGACCCUGCUGGUCAUCUAUGAACAUUUGAACAUCUUGGCCAUGUUCUGUUAUCUCCACCCGGCACAGCCAGAAGAGGACUGACCAGCCCUCAUGCCUGGUUUCUUCCUAGGUUCUGUCCUUUCUAGGGAGUUUUUCCUAGCCACCGUGCUUCUACACCUGCAUUGCUUGCUGUUUGGGGUUUUAGGCUGGGUUUCUGUAUAGUACUUUGUGACAUCAGCUGAUGUAAGAAGGGCUUUAUAAAUACAUUUGAUUGAUUGAUUGAACCUAAAUAGAAAUAAUAUUUGACUAAAACAUAAGAAUUUCAAAACUUGAUUAAAUUUGGGGACAUUGUCCUGCAUAGGGUGCCGUCUUUCAGAUGGGACGUAAAAACGAGUGUCCUGACUCUGGUCAUUCAAAAUCCCAUUGCACUUAUUGUAAGAGUAGGGGGGGUUCAACCUGCUGUCAUGGCUAAAUUCCCAACUUGGCCACAUUCAAUCAUGGCCACCUAAUCAUCCACCUCAUUCCUAAUAUCAUUAUUUAAAUAAUACUCUUACUUUAAAACCCCCUUUAAAAAUAAUCCAGCAGUAAACAGUAUAUCAUAUUUUCCUGACUAAAAAAGGUUUCCUGUGGAAAGACGCAUUAUUGACUAGAGAGGUGAAAGUGAUAGAGCAAUUCUCAACAUUUCACAUCAGAAUGUAAGACUACAUUUUUUAUGUUGGAAUAAACAUUCAUCUGAGAAUACAUACCUUUCCCCUUCAGCACCUCUGCACAAAGCAAGUUAUAGGCAGACACAAUGCGCUUAUAACCAGCAGUUUUGCGGCGCCGGAUGUGCAUGAGGUAUUAAGUGAACGCCCAUAGUUACCAAUCCAGUUCUGUCAUUUGAAAGGAAAGCAUUGUCGUUAGAUGUUACUCAACUAAAAACAUUCAAGCAUAACACUGUAUAACUUCUGUGUUGAUAAAAUACCAUUUACAGAACUGUAAUUAAACAUGAUUGUACACUAUUGCCUGAUCCUGCCUAAUCCGCAGUGUUUUAGGUGGUUGGUGGUUUAUUCUUUUAUUUCACAAUAUUCUAAUAAUACAGGGGGUUAGGAAAGAAAACGCUUGGCCUAGGGUCCUUCAGUGGUCUUGUGCUGUGGUGGAAUGUCUCCCCAUUAUGCUUGCACCAAUCCAAUGCUUGUAAAUGCAUGAGGUGAAAUGAAAGUGUGAACACUUCUGGAUGCCGGGUAUCAGAAAACAGCGUAUUUCUUUCCAAACUUUCACCAAAAUAAAUAUGUCCCCCCAAUCCCUCUUUCCACUAACCCCUCAAAAUCCACCAACUCUGUAGUCACAUGUCCCUAAUUCCACCUCCCUCUCACCCCCCACCCACCCCUUCCCUCCAUUUCAUACCUUAACUACAGACACAUGUAGUCCUGUAGCAGCCUCCGUCACCAGGGCUGAGGACCACCUUUUCAUAUCCCGUUCAUGAUAAGACACAAGGGUACCCCUGAUGUUAGCUGUUAUGAGGUGUCUUCCUACAACAAAGAUAUAUUAAAUUGUAACAUGGGUGUAAGUAAGUGUUUCCUAGUUGUUGACAAGAGCCUUCAGGUUCCUGUUUGGUUAAAAAGCUAUGGGACAGGGCUGGAGAAAUGUUACCACUCUCAAAUUCAUAGCCAGAGCUAUGGAUGCAAAGACUGACCAUCCUUGAUAUACAGUAUGUAGUAACCUGGUAAAUUUGUUUACCAAUAGAUGGCAGUAUUGAGUCAACGGGGGUUUGCUUCCUGCUAUCUGUAGCUAUUUCCUAUGUCUGCCUAUAUAACUGUGAUUAAGAAAGCUUCAGGUAGCUUAAGCCAGGUGCAUUAGAGAAUGGAAUUCUAAAUUACAAUUAAAUACUAAACCGUA